AUGCCUCCUACCUUAGCCCCCUGCCCUCCAAACUGUCUUCAAAAAACCCCUAACCUCCAAGCCUGCAGAAAGGUCGAUUUGAGGAAUAACUCUGUCUCCUGUGUGGCAUGGCUGGACUCGCAUCAGUUAAACUUUCUUUACUGCAAUGCCAUGGUCUUGCAUGACCAGUCUCUUGCAUAGGAGGAAGUGGUAAGCUAAGGAGAGAAAUGCAUGGUUCCUAGCACACCAAUUUUGCAAAGAUGAAAAAACCAAUUUUUCAUCUUGGCCUUGCUUGAAAAUGACGCAUCUACUGUCUUCGUGCCUUAGCACAGCAGAGGUAAGAAAAUUCCCAUUCAAGUUUUAUUAGUUUUUUUUUUUUUUAAUUGUGUGCCUGAUUGCUUCAAUAAAAUUCAAACUAAUAAGAAAAAAGCAUAGCUUUGUUUUAUAGCCAUAGCUUGGUUAACACAAGGACAUUUGAGCCACAUAAAUGCAUAACACUUUUUAUAACCUCCUUAGCUCACAUUUAACACACACAUUGGGGUUACACUGUCCAUAAAUAAACAGCACAUUGUAAGUUUGAGAUGUAGCCUUUGGAGCAAAACAUACCAGGACUGGAUUAUCAUGUCUGACACUACUGGCUUUGUGAUCCCGGAUCCUACAAUUCCUUUUAACUUUCUCAGCCUCACUUAUCUCAUAUGUAUAACUGAAAAAGUAACAUAUGCUUCAUAAGGAUUAAAUGAGGCAGAUAUAAAAAACACCCUUGUGCUUGGUGCUUUCUUCUAAAUGGGACAAUAAUGAUAAUUAGUGAUUACAUUUAAUUAACUUUUC
rnacentral:lncRNA from 1 species